AUGAGCCGACGCCCGAUUAGCUAGUUGGUAGGGUAAUGGCCUACCAAGGCGACGAUCGGUAGCUGGUCUGAGAGGAUGAUCAGCCACACUGGGACUGAGACACGGCCCAGACUCCUACGGGAGGCAGCAGUGGGGAAUAUUGGACAAUGGGCGCAAGCCUGAUCCAGCAAUGCCGCGUGUGUGAAGAAGGCCUGCGGGUUGUAAAGCACUUUUGUUCGGGAAGAAAACGGACUGGUUAAUACCCGGUUCGGAUGACGGUACCGAAAGAAUAAGCACCGGCUAACUUCGUGCCAGCAGCCGCGGUAAUACGAAGGGUGCAAGCGUUAAUCGGAAUUACUGGGCGUAAAGCGUGCGUAGGCGGCUUUUUAAGUCGGAUGUGAAAUCCCCGGGCUCAACCUGGGAAUGGCAUCCGAUACUGGGGAGCUAGAGUUUGGGAGAGGGUGGUGGAAUUCCCCGGUGUAGCGGUGAAAAUGCGUAGAGAUCGGGAGGAACAUCAGUGGCG
rnacentral:rRNA from 1 species